rnacentral:rRNA from 1 species
GACGAACGCUGGCGGCGUGCUUAACACAUGCAAGUCGAACGGAAAGGCCCUGCUUUUGUGGGGUGCUCGAGUGGCGAACGGGUGAGUAACACGUGAGUAACCUGCCCUUGACUUUGGGAUAACUUCAGGAAACUGGGGCUAAUACCGGAUAGGAGCUCCUGCUGCACGGUGGGGGUUGGAAAGUUUCGGCGGUUGGGGAUGGACUCGCGGCUUAUCAGCUUGUUGGUGGGGUAGUGGCUUACCAAGGCUUUGACGGGUAGCCGGCAUGGGAGGGUGACCGGCCACAUUGGUACUGAGAUACGGCCCAGAAUCCUACGGGAGGCAGCAGUGGGGAAUAUUGCACAAUGGGCGGAAGCCUGAUGCAGCAACGCCGCGUGCGGGAUGACGGCCUUCGGGUUGUAAACCGCUUUCGCCUGUGACGAAGCGUGAGUGACGGUAAUGGGUAAAGAAGCACCGGCUAACUACGUG